rnacentral:rRNA from 1 species
UCGAAACCUGCACAGCAGAACGACCCGCGAACUCGUUUACGAACCUCGAGGGGGUGGGGCCCGCCCUACCCCCUCGGAGCCGAAACGCGCCGCCCCCUCUCCCCGUCAAAAGGGCGAGGGGACGGCGGGCGACGGCAAGUACCCAAACACCGGCGCGGGUUGCGCCAAGGACCAUGAAUUCUAUCGCGUCCUGCAGCCCCGGGCGACCGGGUGCGGCGGUGAAGCGUGUCGAAAAAUUUAACACAACGACUCUCGGCAACGGAUAUCUCGGCUCUCGCAUCGAUGAAGAACGUAGCGAAAUGCGAUACUUGGUGUGAAUUGCAGAAUCCCGUGAACCAUCGAGUCUUUGAACGCAAGUUGCGCCCGAAGCCAUCCGGCUGAGGGCACGUCUGCCUGGGCGUCACGCAUCGCGUCGCCCCCUCUCCCUCCUCGGAGUGGAGAGAGGGGCGGAGUUUGGCCCCCCGUGCGCCCCCCGCGCGCGGCCGGCCUAAACACGGAGCCCGUGGCCGCGAGUGCCGCGACGUUUGGUGGUUGAAUCAAUCUUAAGCAUCGCGUCGCGCGCCGCAGCGUGCAUGUAGCGCUCGAAGGACCCUUAGGCGCAGCAGCAGCCUACCCUUGCGACCCC